AAGGCCGCGCCUGCGGUGGCCGCGGGCGUCAGGCUCUCCCGGUCUCCGGCGGGGCCACCCCGGGGUGCGCAUCGCCUGCCGGAGCGCGGGGGGGCGGGAGGCGUCUGGGCUGGUGGCGGAGUCAGCUGUGUGAUGGCAGAAUUUAUCCGUCCUUGGGUGGUUUGAACUUGUUGCAAUCUAUUCAGCGUUUUGUCAAGAUUUAAUAGAACAUUUGCUGCUUUUCUAAGAACACUGUGAGGUCGCACUGGUGUGAUCCCCCCCCCCCCCCCAUGUUACAAGUGAGAAGAUGAGGCACUGAUGAGGUAAGUUGUCUGAGGUCUCGCUGACAGUAAGAGAGAACGUCAGGAUGUGAAGCCAGGUGGUUUGAUUCCAGAAACUAUGUUCUGAAGCACAUCCCUGUAUUUUCCAUACUUACCGUAAAAUACAAAUUCAUGAAAGGGAUAUGGUACGUUUUACUGCAAAUGACAGUGUAGCAGGACUUGAAAUUAUAACUCUUUAUUUUAGGAACGUUGAGGGGCAGGGUCCUGAUCUUGACCCCCUACACAACCAUAAUUUGGGCAUGAGACAACCACACCUUCCUAUUGCUUGAGAUGCUUUUCUGCCUUUAUUUCUCUGGCAAACUUUAUCUUCAUUUGUGAACUCCAAGUCAGAGGUCGCCUACUUCCCAGAGCCUUUCCCAGUAAACCCAGCGAGAAUUAAUUCUGUUCCCCCCUGCUCUGUUCCCAGCGUGGCUUGAAGAUGCUGUAAUACAGUCUUGUCGCUGUUUGGGGCUGCUUCCAUGCCUGUCCUCCCCACUAGACCGGAGUAACUCAGGGCAAGAACUCGCCCUUCUCCCUGCCCCAUCUCUACUGCCCUGCACACGGUCAGGUGUCCCGAGGAAGCUUCAGGAAUUGCUGCUGGAUUGUGAGCUUGAGAGGAUUAACCUGGGGGCAGUGUUCUCCUAUUUGGCUCCGGUGACCGCGGAGGCAUUUUCUUUUUGAAAUUGUACUGAAAUAGAGCUCAGGGUGAUUUUGCUACAUUUCAAAACAUUCUGGGAAGGGUCCAGAAGCUUCAUAAAAUUGCCAGGAGUCCACAGUAGAAAAAAGGUCCAGACCGCCUUUAUCUGGCAUGUUCUGGACAGAGGCCGCUCCGCUGGCCGGGUCCUGGGCAGGUGACCACAAGGCACAGAGCCCUGACUCUGGGGGACACUGGAUGGGGCUGAGCAGGCUUCAGUUUCCCCUGAGAUGGACACUGUCCUCACAGCCUAAUCUACACUCUGUCUCUCUGUCUGCGUGUGGAUUCCUAGAUGCCGGUCCAGAUCUUUCAUGCCAUCAACGGUUCUGAGGUGGCAAUCUGGAUGGCGACAGUUGAAAUGUCCUUUCUCCGAGUCUCAUGGUUUGUUCCUUUGACUCUGAGGGAAGAGCCAAGGCUUUCUGGGCAUCACUGAUGUCUGUGGAGGGACAAGUUGGCUUUGGAACAUCAGGGUCUAGUUCUAAAGCUGGCACCCCCUCCAUUCUGGGGGCAACCUCUGGGAACUCCCACAGGGCUCAGGUUUGAGGUGCUGGGGCUUGGUCUGCUUGCUUUGCAACAGGGUGAGAUGAUCGCGAGUUGCCUUACUUCCACAAAAGCUUUCCCGAGUUGGGAAAUUCCCCCCCCCCCCCAACGCACGCCCUCCCC